UACGUAGGGUCCAAGCGUUAAUCGGAAUUACUGGGCGCAAAGCGUGCGCAGGCGGUUGUUCACGACCGAUGUGAAAUCCCCGAGCUUAACUUGGGAAUUGCAUUGGUGACUGCACGGCUAGAGUGUGUCAGAGGGGGGUAGAAUUCCACGUGUAGCAGUGAAAUGCGUAGAGAUGUGGAGGAAUACCGAUGGCGAAGGCAGCCCCCUGGGAUAACACUGACGCUCAUGCACGAAAGCGUGGGGAGCAAACAGG
rnacentral:rRNA from 1 species